rnacentral:misc_RNA from 1 species
AACUUUUGACAACGGAUCUCUUGGCUCUCGCAUCGAUGAAGAACGCAGCGAAAUGCGAUAAGUAAUGUGAAUUGGAGAAUUCAGUGAAUCAUCGAAUCUUUGAACGCACCUUGCACCCUUUGGCAUUCCGAAGGGUAUGCUCGUUUGAGUGUCAUUGUACUCUCACACUCCCGAUGCUUUUGGAUUGGGAGUGGUGGACUUGGGUGUUGCUGCUUUACUGUGGCUCACCUCAAAUGGAGUAGUGCAACUCUUGGUUGGACAUAGUACGGCGUGAUAAGUGUCUUCGCCGGCGCCUCAUUAGAGGGUGGCCGAUCGGGAGCUCUGUGCUUCAAACCGUCUUCGGACAACAUCUGACAACUUGACCUCAAAUCGAGUAGGACUACCCGCUGAACUUAAGCAUAUCAAUAAGCGGAGGCU